rnacentral:lncRNA from 1 species
AUCAUCCACACCACUCUUCGCCACCCGGCUGGGAGCAAUUCCAGAAGGCAGGGUCUGCUUGGGCAGUUGAGAGGCCUUGGGGCAUGCCGCUUAUUGAAACCAUCAGCAGGAGGAGUUUGGAUAAAGCUGAAGUUCCACUUAGGCGCUCGGUGAUCCAUCUGGGAAGACAGUGGCCACAGCCCAACAGGAGGCCGGGGAACCUGGACCCCACCAGCCAAGGUUUGAGAAGCAGAUAGGCUUGAAUGAGCAUGGAAUGUAUCUAUUUAAAAAGCAGCUGGAAGUCUGUCAAGUGCAUUCUGGAAAUGGAUUCAGGCUAACAGAGUGUUCUGAAUAGAGACGCCUAAAACAAGAGCCAAAGACAUAGCAAUGGAGAACGUGGGUGGUACAGCCCUCCACCCUGGCGAGCAGCACAUUAGAAUCACGUAGGAGCUUAAAAAGUACUGACUGGCCUGGUCUUUUUCGGUGUGAAGGUGGGAUGCAGGCUUCCUGGGGUUAUCCUCUCGUACAGCCAGAGUUGAGAACCAUCUGAGUAGCGCUUGUCACACUUCUGGCCACAUCAGAAUCGUCUGAGGGACUUGUUCACUGCAGGUUGCUGGGUCCCAUCUCUAGCCUCUGAUCCAGUAGCCUGGGGUGGGGCACAGGAUGUCCUGCUGCUGGGGUCUGGGCAGCGCUAUGAGAACUGCUGACGUUGGAGCUCGAUCAGGUGGUCCCUCACUCCCUGACCCAGGGCAUUUGCUGCUUCCUGUCUCUGCCAUUCUUUUCUCAACCUGGGGCACUUGCUUUUCUCGCUAUGCUGCCCUGCCCUUUGCUGAGGCCUGGGCUAUCCCUGGCAGGGUGCAGAAAAAAAAUUUUUAAGUUACUUUUCUCAGCCCAAAGGAGACUGGAAUGCUUCACAAGGGAUUCUACUUGACAGGCAAUUGGACCACCCAAAUGGCAAACUAAAAGCAUAGAAGCGGACACCAGAGGCUCCUGGACCUGAGAUGUGGCCCUGGAAGUGACCAGAUGUGGUCUCAAGAGAUGGGGGCCCAGGGCUAGGAAUGCCGCCAUCCGGGGAGGCCCUAGAGCAGAGC